ACCGUGAUAGCUCAGCUGGUAGAGCAUCUGCCCGGUUAACAGAAUGUCGCCGGUUCGAUUUCGGCUCGCGGCG
rnacentral:tRNA from 1 species